AACUAAUAUGCAAUACAGUUGCUUGCCCCAAAUGGAUGUUCAUACUAUACCUAGCUUUCCAUAGAAGACUACUAACCAAAGAUAGGCUGGCUGGAUGAGAGUGUGUGGAAGAUGUAACUUGUGUGCUAUGUGAUGCUGAGGUGGAGACAAUAAGCCACCUGUUUUUUAGUUGCAUUGUCUUAACUCAGAUCUGGCAAAAGAUCCUGAACUGGAUCAAUAUCCAUAGACAAGCGCAAACCUGGGAUGAAGAAAUGAAGUGGGAUAUUGAUCAAUAUCGAGGGAAACAACCAGCAGCUGAGAUUUACAAGAUGGGACUAGCUGGGACUAUUUACUACAUAUGGUAGGAAAGGAAUUAAGGAAUUUUUCAAGGGAAGACUAGAGAUAUUGCAACACUUGUGAGGCAGAUUGUUCAGGAAGUACAUAUCAGGGGAUGAUUGAAACCAAGACUGGCCAUGCUGCUGAAUUUUAUGAAUUUCUAUCCACAGUGAAGCUUGACUUGUAUACAUGUGUUAGUGAUACUCUGAAGCUUAUGUUUUGAUAGAGUAGUUUGGAGUAAGAGGUAGUAGUUAUGCACAGAACUGGGAGCUGUCCAGAGUCUAUUUUUUAGCUUUGUAAUUCUCACUUGGUAAUAAAAUCAUUUAUUUACCAAAAAAAA